rnacentral:rRNA from 1 species
UACGGAGGGUGCAAGCGUUAUCCGGAUUUACUGGGUUUAAAGGGUGCGUAGGCGGGCCCUUAAGUCAGUGGUGAAAGCUCCGAGCUUAACUCGGAAACUGCCAUUGAUACUAUUGGUCUUGAAUUCGGUCGAGGUUGGCGGAAUGUGUCGUGUAGCGGUGAAAUGCUUAGAUAUGACACAGAACACCGAUUGCGAAGGCAGCUAGCUAGACCGACAUUGACGCUGAGGCACGAAAGCGUGGGGAUCAAACAGG